UUUUCCUCUCUUUUAUCUUUACAAAAACAGAUUCCUUCUUUUUCUCUCUCUAUCCUUUCAAGGGAAUUAUGCCAUGUAAUUGUCCUGUAAAUUUCAAAACCCUACUCCAUUGAAGUAAAACAGUAAAAAGCUUCGAAACGCCGUCGUUACCCUAUCAAUGCACCGUUGAGACUCGAGAUGAUGAGAUCACCUCAAGUUCGAAACGGCGUCGUCGAGACUCCGUCGCCGUCGCACUUCCACUCCAGCGUAUCCCUACACAAGCUCCGGCGGUUCAACAUUUUGAUUGUCGUCUUCCGGUUUGCUUCCUUCUGCUUCUCUCUUGCUUCAGCUAUCUUCAUGUUCACUAAUUCUCGCCGCGGCUCCGAUUUGCCUCAGUGGCAUCACUUCGAUGCCUUCAGGUUUGUGGCUGUUGCCGGUGCAAUUGUUGCCUUAUAUUCACUCUUCGAAGUAGGAGCAUCCGUAUGGGAGAUUUCAAGAGGCGCUACUGUUUUCCCUGAAGUCGUUCAAGUUUGGUUCGAUUUCGGCCACGAUCAGGUUUUUGCUUACCUGUUGCUGUCGGCGGGAUCGGCGGCAACGUCACUGGUUCGGACUUUGAAGGAGAUGGACACGUGUACGGUUAACAAUGCAUUCUGCGUUCAAUCGGAUAUCUCAAUAGCCUUUGGAUUCGCCGGAUUCAUGUUCCUGGGCUUUUCUUCACUCUUGUCGGGUUUCCGGGUUGUAAGUUUUAUUAUCAAUGGUUCUCGA
rnacentral:misc_RNA from 1 species